rnacentral:lncRNA from 1 species
AUGGAAUACAUUUUGGUGGAAGCUUCAAAAAAUUUGAACUCUGGAUUUGAGGACAUUCUUCACUCUCCAUGACAUAUCAAGACAAAAUUUACGCGGCAACACAAGCCAACAGAGUACCAAAUAUCUUGUUCAGCCAUCAAUAACAAAAAUAAAAUGGCACAAAUUGAUAUCUCCACAAUGUCUAACUUGAAAAUGAAAGGUAGUCUCAAUUUUCAACAGAAAUAGACAAAGCAAAAGAAACAACCAAAAUCGUAAACUAAACAUCUUGAUAAGAUAGUUUAGAAAAUUGAUCAUGAAUAACGAACUAGUGAUCAAAUUCAUCAUCUGAAUAAUGCCACAAAUAAUACAAAGGAUGCAAUGACACAUUGCUUCAUAUGCAAAACUUUUAUGCAAAUUUCGUGAGUGCAAUUGAGAUGUGAAUAUGGAAAAGUUCUGAAGUUGCAAGAGGACUACUAUUGCUUGCUGAAACUAUUAGCAUUGUAAUUGGUUGCUGACACAUCUCAGUACAGUUGGAGUAGUAAGACCAAUGAUUCUGCAAUUUGUAAUUAUGACAUAUGAGAUCAAAGGGAAUUAUGUGAUGUUGGUUAUAUAUGCCUUUUACACCAAAGUAGGUGUGUGUAUAUAUGUAUACACCAUACCGGCCAUCCAUCAUAGGUAAAACCAAAUUUCAUGGUACCUUUCAAAAUCAAAAGUCAGACGAUGUUGCCAUGAACUCCUCAUUGCCAAAUUUUGUGUUUUAACUGUCAAUAAGAAAUAUCCAUACAUGCAUAGUCAGAU